CUCGUUCAACAAAGGAGAAGAGAAUAAACAUCAGGAUAACCUUUACACAAACAGAACUAAAGCCUUUGGGUCUGAGAUGAGUUCUGGGAAUAUCUCUAUCAAACUCAGCCAAGUAACACUUGAAGACAAGCAGAACGUCUACUGGGCUUUCGCGUUUGAUGGGAAUGAUAAGCCUAUCCCCAAGUUGAUAAAAUGGUGUCCCACUACCCUACAUGUGGCAGCACGGUUCCCAACACCCAGUGUGACUGUGAACAAGACAAAUAUGAAUACCGCAGACCCUUCAGGUGAAGUUCAGAAAGGCUUUACUCCUGCCAUUAUUGGAGGCAUUAUAACAAUAUUUAUUGUGAUUUGCCUCGGGCGGAUAUUUAUUGUGUACAAAAAAUGUUGUGGAGACAGAGGUGGUGCCACGGGAGCCAGCAGUGGUGCUACAGGGCCAACAGAUUUUCCACAGGAGCCAGAGGUGGUGCUACAGGAGCCAGAGGUGGUGCUACAGGUGCCAGAGCUGGUGCUACAGGAGACAGAGGUGGUGCAACAGGAGACAGCGGUGGUGCUACAGGAGGUGAUGAAGAGCAGAGCAUUCUAAUGGGUCUCACAACAAGCCAGCCUCGGGGCAAUAGUAGUGUAGAUCAAGUUGAUUUAGCCACAGUUAGCAACGCUAACGGUGCUGCAGCAAAAAAACACAGCUGAUUGUGUAACAAAACCAUUGCAUGAAAUUGUAAACAUUUAUUUAUUCAUUUUAUUUAACCAGGAAGGGCUCAUUGAGAUUUAAAAUCUCUUUUUGAAAAGCGUCCUGGCCAAGAUAGGCAGCGUCAAGUCAUUACAAAAAUUACAGACAAACAACAUGAAAAACUACAAGUAAUCUAGUAAAAACCAUAGAAUUAACAAAGAAUAUAACAAAAUCAAAAACAGCAAAUUAGAAACAUUGACAUGUCAGGGAAUCAGUCUCAAGAUCAUUCAUCAGGGUUUUAAAAAUACCAAUCGGGACAAGUUCUUCCAGUUUAAAAGUAUUUUGUAAGGCGUUCCAAGCCGAUGGUGCAGAGUACAUAAAAGCCCUUUAACCAAAUUCAGUUCGGACAUUUGGAACAGUUAGCAGGAUAAAGUCCCGCGAACGAAGAGAGUACCCAC
rnacentral:lncRNA from 1 species